rnacentral:rRNA from 1 species
UACGUAGGGUGCAAGCGUUGCCCGGAAUUAUUGGGCGUAAAGAGCUCGUAGGCGGUUUGUCGCGUCUGCUGUGAAAACCGGAGGCUCAACCUCCGGCCUGCAGUGGGUACGGGCAGACUAGAGUGCGGUAGGGGAGAUUGGAAUUCCUGGUGUAGCGGUGGAAUGCGCAGAUAUCAGGAGGAACACCGAUGGCGAAGGCAGAUCUCUGGGCCGUAACUGACGCUGAGGAGCGAAAGCAUGGGGAGCGAACAGG